AUAAAUUUUCUAAUCAGUAUCUGUUCUUAUCAGCUUAAUAUCUGAUAUGGACCUAAUUGGUCCAAGAUACUAAACUUAUUUUUGUAAACGGUGUUCCCCCGGAGCUUGCUUCGAGGUCGCCAGGGUUGGCCCGGUAUUGCACUACCUCCAAGGUAUAUGUACAUGGGUA
rnacentral:snRNA from 2 species